GAUGAACUCGUUCAGGGUGGGGGUUUUAGAUGAACUAGUUCAGAGUGGGGGUUUGAGAUGAACUAGUUCAGAGUGGGGGUUUUAGAUGAACUCAUUCAGAGUGGGGGUUUAAGAUGAAUUUGUUCAGAGUGGGGGUUUGAGAUGAACUCAUUCAGAGUGGGGGUUUGAGAUGAAUUAAUUCAGAGUGGGGGUUUGAGAUGAAGUAGUUCAGAGUGGGGGUUUGAGAUGAACUAGUUCAGAGUGGGGGUUUGAGAUGAACUCAUUCAGAGUGGGGGUUUGAGAUGAACUAGUUCAGAGUGGGGGUUUGAGAUAAGCUCGUUCAGAGUGGGGGUUUGAGAUGAACUAGUUCAGAGUGGGGGUUUGAGAUGAACUCAUUCAGAGUGGGGGUUUGAGAUGAACUCAUUCAGAGUGGGGGUUUGAGAUGAACUCGUUCAGAGUGGGGGUUUGAGAUGAACUCAUUCAGAGUGGGGGUUUAAGAUGAACUAGUUCAGAGUGGGGGUUUAAGAUUAACUCAUUCGGAGUGGGGGUUUAAGAUGAACUAGUUCAGAGUGGGGGUUUGAGAUGAACUAGUUCAGAGUGGGGGUUUAAGAUGAAUUUGUUCAGAGUGGGGGUUUGAGAUGAACUCAUUCAGAGUGGGGGUUUGAGAUGAACUCAUUCAGAGUGGGGGUUUGAGAUGAACUAGUUCAGAGUGGGGGUUUGAGAUGAACUCAUUCAGAGUGGGGGUUUAAGAUGAACUAGUUCAGAGUGGAGGUUUGAGAUGAACUAGUUCAGAGUGGGGGUUUGAGAUGAACUAGUUCAGAGUGGGGGUUUAAGAUGAAUUUGUUCAGAGUGGGGGUUUGAGAUGAACUCAUUCAGAGUGGGGGUUUGAGAUGAACUCAUUCAGAGUGGGGGUUUGAGAUGAACUAGUUCAGAGUGGGGGUUUGAGAUGAACUCAUUCAGAGUGGGGGUUUAAGAUGAACUAGUUCAGAGUGGGGGUUUAAGAUUAACUCAUUCGGAGUGGGGGUUUAAGAUGAACUAGUUCAGAGUGGGGGUUUGAGAUGAACUAGUUCAGAGUGGGGGUUUGAGAUGAACUAGUUCAGAGUGGGGGUUUGAGAUGAACUAGUUCAGAGUGGGGGUUUGAGAUGAACUAGUUCGGAGUGGGGGUUUAAGAUGAACUAGUUCAGAGUGGGGGUUUGAGAUGAACUAGUUCAGAGUGGGGGUUUGAGAUGAACUCAUUUAGAGUGGGGGUUUGAGAUUAACUAGUUCAGAGUGGGGGUUUGAGAUGAACUAGUUCAGAGUGGGGGCUUAAGAUGAACUAGUUCAGAGUGGGGGUUUGAGAUGAACUAGUUCAGAGUGGGGGUUUGAGAUGAACUAGUUCAGAGUGGGGGUUUGAGAUGAACUAGUUCAGAGUGGGGGUUUGAGAUGAAUUUGUUCAGAGUGGGGGUUUGAGAUGAACUAGUUCAGAGUGGUAGUUGGGGAUUAGCUUAUUCAGAGUGAGGGUCUAAAUAAGUUCUUGUAAUGUGAAUGUAGCCCUGCAGGUUCGGAUAUGUGGUCUGAUUCACCACCACUGUGAAUUUUUCUCACUGGGUAAAUUUAUCUUGAACAAAUCAUUUCACACUGAACCCACUCUGAAUUGGUUUAUUUUGAAUUUUACAUCAGAAGAUUAUGCAGAUAGUUUUGGAAAUUCAGCAUGAACUAUAUAUAUAUUUUUUGUUUUGCUUAGUUUUUUCUUUCUUUGUCUCAUUUAUUUUGAGUCUAAUCGAGACUACCAUACGUUAAACUAAUUCUCAUUCUCAUCCUCAAUAAAGAAAUGUUCACAGCAAACUGCAGGUUUAAUCCACAGUGAUAAAGUUGUCUACUCAUUCAUUUUUAUUUAAAUAUCUAUUUUUAUUUGUUCAUUUGUUUACUGCUAAAUGUACAGCUACAGUAGAUCAAACCGGAGUUGUGAAACAGUCGAAGUCGAAGACGAAGAAGUGUUUUUAUUUUAGACAAUUAAAAAAAAGAAACUGAGACAUUUGUGAAGAGCACAUGUAAAUAAUAUAUAUUGUUACAUAUUUUAUUGUCCAACUGAGAAAGAAGAAUAAUUUACCAUGCUUUUUUUUUGCAGUCAGGCUCUAAGACAAAGAAUUCAACUGAUUUGUUAGUUGUUUGCCAUCUCUCUCUCUCUCUCUCUCUCUCUCUCUCUAUAUAUAUAUAUAUAUAUAUAUAUAUAUAUAUAUAUAUAUAUAUAUAUAUUUCUUGAGUAGUGUACAAAAAGGACACUGAUGAUUUGUUGUUAGGGUCUGCAUUAUUAUUAUAUACUUGUAUGUACUGAAAAUCCUUUUCAUAAGGGAAAUGCACAGAGCUGUGGAAUUUUUUCAAUAAAACGAUUGCAUUUA